rnacentral:rRNA from 1 species
CGCGUAGGUGGUAGUGUAAGUCUGGGGUGGAAUCCCAGGGCUUAACCCUGGAACUGCCUUGGAAACUGCAUUACUUGAGUCAGUGAGGGGAGGGUAGAAUUCCUGGUGUAGCGGUGAAAUGCGUAGAUAUCAGGAGGAAGGCCUGUGGCGAAGGCGGCCCUCUGGCGCUGGACUGACACUGAGGCGCGAAAGCGUGGGGAGCAAACAGGAUUAGAUACCCUGGUAGUCCACGCCCUAAACGGUGGGCACUAGGUGUAGGGCUCGUAAGGGUUCUGUGCCGAAGGGAAACCAUUAAGUGCCCCGCGUGGGGAGUACGGCCGCAAGGUUGAAA